rnacentral:rRNA from 1 species
UACAGAGGUGGCAAGCGUUGUUCGGAAUUACUGGGCGUAAAGGGCGCGUAGGCGGCCUUCUAAGUCAGACGUGAAAUCCCCCGGCUUAACCUGGGAACUGCGUCUGAUACUGGAAGGCUUGAGUGCGGGAGAGGGAUGUGGAAUUCCAGGUGUAGCGGUGAAAUGCGUAGAUAUCAAGAGGAACACCUGAGGUGAAGACGGGUUGCUGGGCUGACACUGACGCUGAGGCGCGAAAGCUAGGGGAGCAAACGGG